CCCCCCUCCCCCCGCCACCUCCACCCCUUCCCUCGCUCCCUCUCUGGCUCCGCGGGCUCUCCCGCUGAACAGGAGCGAGAGCGCGAAAGAGAGGGGAAACAAGAAAAAAAUCCCCCCGCCCGUGCCCGGCGCGGCGGCGGCCGGGGCGGCGCGGAGAGGAGCGCGGAGCCGCUGCCGCCACAGGGCACCGUCCCCUGCUCGGCCUCACGGUGGCGGUGCGGACACGGCAGGGGCGCGGAGCAAAGGCGGGAUCUGCGCUCGCCGCGGCCCCGGCUCACGCCGACCUGCCUCGCCACGGGGAGAGUCCGACUAGAGAGCUGGGGGGCGUUAUGGUCCAGCUGGGAAAGACGGGGUCCAUAACUCCUUAGAGUGGUUAUUUAUCCCCUCCCCCAGCCCUGCGGGGGAGGUGGCUAAGGUUUGGAGCAACAACCCCCCUCCCUGAGCUAGAAGGUCCCUCCAAAGGCUAAGUCAAGAGCAGUCAUUGAAGACAAAACCGUUCUGUAGUUUCUUGGGGUGCAGGUGCCUGCAGUACUCCCAGAAAGUCGCCCCCUUCCCCCCGUGCUCCAGUCCGGAGGACAAAGGUCUAUCGAUGUCCAUACUCUUCCCCAGUGAGGACAGCCGGGGAAGACCUGCCUCUGUUGUGUAAAGGAUUGAUGAGUGGACUCUCCGUCUGGCUGUGGGCAGUACCUCCAGGUCCUUUCAGGGAUAUGGGCUCAAUCUACACAAAAGGAAGAAAACCUACAGAUCAAGUCAAAAGGUCUUUUCAGAUGGAAAGCUCACAUUCUCAACUCCACACUCUGCUGCCUCCCAGACCCUGCAUGAGAAGCUGCAGAUACCAGGGUCAUAAAAUAAGCUGUAGUAUAAGUGACUGGGGCCAGGUCUCUUGAGGACCUAUGAGGGAAGAUUUAACAUGAAGGAGACCAGGUGAGUGGAGAAAACUGCUGUUGAGAAGGAGGAAAUGACAAUGUCCGGAAGAUGGGGUAAUCGGGGAGGGAAGAGGAUGUGGUAGAGAAAAUAAUUUAAAAUAAUAGUUAAUGCUUGGUGAGCCCUUCCCAUGUGCCAGGUACUCUUCUGAGUGCUUCCCUUAUGUUAAUUUCUUUAGUAUUAUUAUCCUUAUAGAUGAGGAAACUGAGGCCCAAGGUCACAUGGCUGGUAAGUGGUAGAGCAGGAGGCAGUAUGCCUCCAGAGCUCAACACUUAACCACCUUAGUAAACCACAUAGGGAAAGAAGAGGGUAAGACAGAGGUGCCACUCUUCUGACAGAAGAUAAAAAGGAGAGGCUGGAUUAAGCUAGAGUUUCUAAAGCCAAGGCUGUAUCCUGCUUGGCUGGAGGAAAUCCACCCACUGUCUUUAUUGGGGUUCCUCCUUGGAAUUAUACAAAAGUUCUGGGAUCUUAUGGACCCCACAAUACGAGGAGAGUUCCUCUGAUCAUCAGUCUGUACUUAAAAAUACUGAGCUGCUGCAUCAAUUAAGAAUGGUGGGCUAUCCAUAGGAGAAACCCUGAGUAAUUUCAGCCAAGACCAGGAGAAUUUGCUUACGGUCCAGCCUCCCUGAGCGUACCCAGCACCUUCCUCGUGAGUUUUGCCAGGGUGUUAACAGGGAACUGGACAUAGUCCAAAAGAAUGUGAGUAUUAAUGGGCCUCUACCUCCUUCCGGUCAGGAGAAACUGCCUAGCUAAGCCACACUGCUUCUCAAAUGCACUUCCCUUCCUCACUCUCUCACCUUUUCCCCUCCCAGAGUCCUACCAAAAUAUUCUCAAGGGUGAGACCUUUAAGAAAACAGAGAGAAACAAGUGUGCUUCUGGGAGUUUCUUCCCUUGGCCAGUUAACACAAACCUGUCUCAAAGCCCUGCUACUUUUGUGUCCGUGAUGGUUGGGGGGAACAGGGACAGUAAUGCAGGGAGAGAAGAGCACGCAUUGACCUCAAUGUGUGCUUGUGCCACCGUUGCAGUGGAAAGAACGGUGCAGUGGUAAAUAGGAGACCUGGGCCCCAGUCUCUACUCUGGG